rnacentral:sRNA from 1 species
GUUGGCGUGAAGGUCCGCCGAUCGGGCCCACCGUUCGGCGGCGACGUAGUCGU